GAGUUUGAUCCUGGCUCAGAUUGAACGCUGGCGGCAUGCCUUACACAUGCAAGUCGAACGGCAGCACGGGAGCUUGCUCCUGGUGGCGAGUGGCGAACGGGUGAGUAAUGCAUCGGAACGUAUCCUGGAGUGGGGGAUAACGUAGCGAAAGUUACGCUAAUACCGCAUAUUCUGUGAGCAGGAAAGCGGGGGACCUUCGGGCCUCGCGCUCUUGGAGCGGCCGAUGUCGGAUUAGCUAGUUGGUGAGGUAAAGGCUCACCAAGGCGACGAUCCGUAGCAGGUCUGAGAGGAUGAUCUGCCACACUGGAACUGAGACACGGUCCAGACUCCUACGGGAGGCAGCAGUGGGAAUUUUGGACAAUGGGGGCAACCCUGAUCCAGCCAUGCCGCGUGAGUGAAGAAGGCCUCGGUUGUAAGUACGU
rnacentral:rRNA from 1 species